AAAACGGACGGAGCCGUCUGUGACCCGUCGGAAUCAGUCGAAUCGAUGCGUGAAGGCGAGUAUGAYAUAAAACGGAACGAAAGUCCGGUCGUCUCGUAGUAAACAGUAGCGCUCGUUCGAUGCAUUUCCGAAGGGUAAGCACCGCGACCGAUGUCGAAGGCUAGUGAAGCCGUCGGAUUGAGGUCGAGCUCGUUUCUCGAGUCUCGUUACCAGUCCUUCGGUAUGAAUAGAAUUCGCUGGACCCUAGCAUCGAGAAUAAAAGYGAAUGUCGGUGAACUAUACGCUCACCUGCUACGAUGGACGUGCGGCCGUUCGAUCRUCGCCUGCUCGCAGGUUAYGGUUUGAAUCAGGUUCGUAUCCGAAGUCGUCGGUGACRUUUUGACAUUCAGGCAUCCGCGGUGUCCGAGUCGGUCACCCGUCCGACCCGUCUUGAAACACGGACCAAGGAGUCUAACGUAAGCGCGAGCUAAUGGGUGGAAAACCUAUAAGCGAAAUAAAAGUAAAAGCCGUUUCGGACGGCCGAGGUACGAUCCCGAAGAACGAAGUAUCUUCGGGCGCAGUACCAUCCCGUCCCGACCGCUUGUCGGUAGGGCGGAGAUAGAGUGCAUACGUUGGGACCCGAAAGAUGGUGAACUAUGCCUGAGCAGAGCGAAGCCAGAGGAAACUCUGGUGGAGGUUCGUAGCGGUUCUGACGUGCAAAUCGAUCGUCAGACUUGGGUAUAGGGGCGAAAGACUAAUCGAACCAUCUAGUAGCUGGUUCCCCCUGAAGUUUCCCUCAGGAUAGCUGAUACUCAGGGAAUAACGAAGUUUUAUCCGGUAAAGCGAAUGAUUAGA
rnacentral:rRNA from 1 species